ACGGGAGGCAGCAGUGGGGAAUAUUGGGCAAUGGGCGUAAGCCUGACCCAGCAACGCCGCGUGAAGGAAGAAGGUUUUCGGAUUGUAAACUUCUUUUAUCAGGGACGAAGAGAGUGACGGUACCUGAUGAAUAAGCCACGGCUAACUACGUGCCAGCAGCCGCGGUAAUACGUAGGUGGCAAGCGUUAUCCGGAUUUAUUGGGUGUAAAGGGCGCGUAGGCGGGGAUGCAAGUCAGAUGUGAAAUCCAUGGGCUUAACCCAUGAACUGCAUUUGAAACUGUAUUUCUUGAGUGUCGGAGAGGUAGACGGAAUUCCUAGUGUAGCGGUGAAAUGCGUAGAUAUUAGGAGGAACAUCAGUGGCGAAGGCGGCUUACUGGGCUUUAACUGACGCUGAGGCUCGAAAGCGUGGGGAGCAAACAGGAUUAGAUACCCUGGUA
rnacentral:rRNA from 1 species